UAGGGAAUCUUCGGCAAUGGGGGGAACCCUGACCGAGCAACGCCGCGUGAGUGAAGAAGGUUUUCGGAUCGUAAAGCUCUGUUGUUAAGGAAGAACGAGUGUGAGAAUGGAAAGUUCAUACUGUGACGGUACUUAACCAGAAAGGGACGGCUAACUACGUGCCAGCAGCCGCGGUAAUACGUAGGUCCCGAGCGUUGUCCGGAUUUAUUGGGCGUGAAGCGAGCGCAGGCGGUUAGAUAAGUCUGAAGUUAAAGGCAGUGGCUCAACCAUUGUAGGCUUUGGAAACUGUUUAACUUGAGUGCAGAAGGGGAGAGUGGAAUUCCAUGUGUAGCGGUGAAAUGCGUAGAUAUAUGGAGGAACACCGGUGGCGAAAGCGGCUCUCUGGUCUGUAACUGACGCUGAGGCUCGAAAGCGUGGGGAGCGAACAGG
rnacentral:rRNA from 1 species